GACAUGAUGGCUCAGUGGAUAGAGCGCCGCUUUAUGAACGGGAGGUCGUGGGUUCGAUACCCGGUUGAGUCA
rnacentral:tRNA from 1 species